AUUUAUUAUGAAAUCGGUGCAGCUACAUUUUAUAUUUACAAUUUAAAAUUGUGUGUUAUGAGUUUUAAAAUGCUCGUCUCAAAUUUUUGAAUUAUAAUAAUUAUUCCUUUAUUUUUAUUAUAAUUUGUGGCGUAGAAUAAGUUAGAAAUAUGCUAAGAUCGAGAAAUGAUGUAGAAACAUAUUCAAAUUGAGAUCACAAAAUAAAAUAUUCAAUUAAGCUUAAAAAUUCUACAAUAAUUCUUGGUUGACCAUUUUUAAAAUUAAAGAAAAGAUCGCAAAAGAUAUACAUCCCAAGAUUUUCAUUUAAGUUUUUAGAACUUAACUUUUAUGUAUGCGUAUGACCUAGAAGAAAAUUGCUAUAAAAUUUGUUGGCUCUGGCUUUUGUGGUUUUUAAGAUUUUCGUGUUCAAAGGGACGGACAGACAGAGCGACGGAUGGCCAAGGCAAUAAAGCUCUGCGGUCACAGUUAAUUCUGCUGAUUGUGUCUGCUGCACAUCUUGCCCAAUUGUGCAUAAAUUGAAAUACCCUCUUACUCAACAGCUAGCGGGUAUGCACAACAGCAACAAGACGUCACACAAACAAAACAAAAAUGACGAGUACGCGAAUACUCGAACCUUUUGUGCUACUGCAGUUGAAUAACUGUUUUGUCGCGGCCUCUUCGUGUUGCCAAGCGCGCUUAGAACUUAUGCUUGUCACUGCCUGUGUGUGUGUUGUGUGUGUUUGUGUGUGUGCGCGUGCAUGCGAUGAUGUGCGCAAAGCGCUUGAAGUGUCUGUGACGAGCAACGAAGAGCGAAGAGCGAAGAACGAGGUACGAGUGUAUUUCAUUGAAUGUUGCAAUCAAUUUUAAGCGAUUAUUAAGUGGAGCUUGAACUUAUUUAAUAGAUAGAUCGCAGCGAGCAGGCAAUAGAUUGAUUUAACAACAACAACAAUAGCAAUAAUAGCAACAGCUGCAUUAGUUUUCAACACUCAGUCGAGGUAUUAAUUAUUCCUUCGCACUAUCUGUGAUAACGUCAAAUUGUUACCCAUUUCUAUGGCUCCAUGCAACAUGAGGCACGCACAAUGCCUUGCAACAACAACAUCAACGACUGCACUCUUUUCUUACUGCAUUACCAACACCAUCUGUGGUCGCAAAUUGAGGUGAGUGAACUUGCAACAACAAGCGAGUUGGCAGCACUUAGUUGCCAGCGAGUUGGCAGCACAAUUUUUCGCCCAUUUUGCCAUCGUUGUCGUUGUUGUACACUUAAGACCCAAAAAGCUGCUCAGAAGCAGGCGUUUGAUAGACGUAAAAAAAAGAAGUGGGUAUAAUAACUAUGACUAUAAGGUAGUAAAAGGUUCUUUUUUCCUUUUUUGUUGGUUAUUAGUUAUUUACCUUUAUCUAUCAUUAUCAGUAUCGUAAUCUAUACUUAAUGCUUGCUUCGCAUUCUAUUUGUUCUAAUCAAGAAAAGUAGUGUAAUUAGGCAGACACUGUGGCAACAACUUGAACUUAUGAGUGGAGUCUGGCAAAGUGCUUGUAAUCGAAGGAAAUGGGGGGUGGGGAGGGGGCAGGAAAAGUUGCACAGUUGCACACACAUUUUCCACCUUAAUGUUUCGAAGGGUAAACAAAAAAGCUCGUUUUACAUUUUCCUGCUUUUCCCCAUUGUUCUUGUUUUGUGGCAUUGUUGUUUUCCAUCGGUGUGUUUGUGUGUGUGUGUGUGUAUGUGUGUGUGCAACGUGGGACGCUUAAUCUACAUUGCUAUUUUCGUUCUUCUUGCUGUUGUUGUGUUUCAGGUUUUUCUGCUUAAAAAGUUUGCUUUUAAUUACACCAUUUUCAGCUUACGUACUCUCGUAUUACAAUGUUCGUUGAUUUUUCUGACCAUUUCACUCCAGUCUCUGUUUCUGCUUUUGGCGGCUUCGUCUUUGAUUCCUGCAACUUUUCAGGCAUUUAAUUAUAAAGUCCGCAGAUUUUCAAUAAAAGUUUCUCAACGUUUUGUUAUCGUGGUCAGGCUUCCUUCAUUUGCAGCCAGAUAGCAACCAAAAAAAAAAAAAAAGUAAA